CGUAGGCUUGCCUCCAGCCUGAUCUUUCAUAGAAGCAUUUUCUCAGUUGAGAAUCUCUCCUCUGAUGACUCUAACUUGUGUCAAACUGACACAAAACUAACCAAGACACAUCUUAUUUCAUUUCCUAGAUGCUCUAACAAAAACGUGCUGCAUUUUGGUCAGCCAUGAAUUAUUACUGUUUAACAGAGUCUGCCUUCAGUUUGUCAUCACAGCAGAAAGCCAGAGAAAACCUUCAGUUUCUAUCUGAGUUGGAAGUCAACUGCCCUUUUGGCUCCGGUGCUGUUACACCACAGGACAGUCCUCCCUCCACCUCUCCUCCCACUACCCAGCAGCCUUUUCACCUCCAGAACUCACAGUGAGUCCAGAGAUCAAGGCAUUUCCAGUUAUUGUCCACCCCACCCAGGCUAAUCCUCUAAAUUGGUAUCCUUACCAGGCUUGACACUUAAACAAGCUCAGGUAGGCAAUAAAGGAGGACCAUGUCCCUUGGACUAAAUUUCUCCACCAAAGCCAAAUCUCCAUUUUUAAACCUGUCCCAGGAUUGGCAGGAUCUCUCUCUAGCCAGCCAGCUUUUCUGACCCUGGGAGGCUCUCUACAGAGACAAAUGCUUCCAGCAGGUCAUGUGGAAGCAGAGACAUGGGGAUGAUACCACAAGGGGCUAUGAUAAGCUUUUCAGCCCAGGGAGCUUUCUCCACAGGAGCCCAGCAGGCAGCCCAGGCAGCAGGAUGCCUCUGUGGCACUUCAAGCAUGGGACAGAAUCACCCCACCCUCCAGGUCACAAUAUCCUGCCUCAUCCGUGUUUUACAACUCCACCAAAGACUGAAAGACUGUCUCUGACUUUAUUCUUAGGACUGAAAUAAGUUUAUAAAGAAUUUCUGACCCUGCAGCCAAAGCCCUUUAACACAUGAUUUGGAAGGGUAUGGCUACUUAGUGCAAGCUCUCCUGUCAAGGUCUCAAUGAUGAACACUACAAUAGCUGGAUUGUGGCCACUCAGGAUAUUGAGACAUCAUCCUUCAGGCUGCUUCCAUUGCCCAGGUCUUCGCUGCAGGGAUAAAACAGAAGAGGUUUGCUUUAAAUGUGGAACAAAGGGACACCAGGAAGUUUGCUUAUCUGGUGGAUUUCAUUGGUAGAUUUCCAUAUGUUGAACCAUCCCUGUAUCGCUGAGAUGAACUAUACUUGAUUAUGGUGGGUGAUCUUUCGGAUGUAUUCUUGGAUUGAAUAUGUGAGUAUUUUUGUGUCAAUGUUCAUGACAGAAAUUGGUCUGUAAUUCUUUCUUUGUUGAAUCUUUGUGUGGUUUGGGUAUCAAGGUGAC